rnacentral:lncRNA from 7 species
UAUCCAUCCCAGAGAUCCUCCUGCUGGUCCUCCUGGCGCUCGGGUGCUACCUGCUCGGCAGGAAAAGGGGCCGCGCCGAGGCGGCCGCGGCGCCGCAGCAGUUCGCGCCGCCGGCACCUCCUCCAGGGCUCUCGCCCAAGUAGCAGAGCGGGUGGUCUUCGUUGUACAUGUUCGUUCUCCAGUCUCCACUUGAUACCCACACUACUCUGUUACUGUUAGCUCAUUGUAUUUGUGCGCGCUUUUUUUUUAUCUCUCCCUCUCUCUCUCUCCUUGCUUGUAGUACUCUGCUGUUCUGUUGCAUGAUGUUCAUGCGAAUAAUUAGGUUUGCUGUCCGACUGAUUAGAAUUUUCUAUGGAUGAGAUUGUAUUUGUGGCAAUAAGUUCGAUUUUCAUUGAAUUUUGGCCAUGUUCAUGGAUGUAUCUGUAAUUAUGGUACUAAAUUUCUCUGGCUACUGUCAAACUUGCAACCAGAAACUUUAUACGGA